rnacentral:rRNA from 1 species
GAUGAACGCUGGCGGCGUGCUUAACACAUGCAAGUCGAACGGGAAAUAUUUCAUUGAGACUUCGGUGGAUUUGAUUUAUUUCUAGUGGCGGACGGGUGAGUAACGCGUGGGUAACCUGCCUUAUACAGGGGGAUAACAGUCAGAAAUGGCUGCUAAUACCGCAUAAGCGCACAGAGCUGCAUGGCUCAGUGUGAAAAACUCCGGUGGUAUAAGAUGGACCCGCGUUGGAUUAGCUAGUUGGUGGGGUAACGGCCCACCAAGGCGACGAUCCAUAGCCGGCCUGAGAGGGUGAGCGGCCACAUUGGGACUGAGACACGGCCCAGACUCCUACGGGAGGCAGCAGUGGGGAAUAUUGCACAAUGGGGGAAACCCUGAUGCAGCGACGCCGCGUGAAGGAAGAAGUAUCUCGGUAUGUAAACUUCUAUCAGCAGGGAAGAUAGUGACGGUACCUGACUAAGAAGCCCCGGCUAACUACGUG